rnacentral:tRNA from 1 species
UAUUUCUCUAAGUUAAGAAAACUCCUAUCCUUCAAAGAUAAAAUUAUUGGGUUAGAU